rnacentral:rRNA from 1 species
UACGAAGGGUGCAAACGUUGCUCGGAAUUAUUGGGCGUAAAGCGCACGUAGGCGGCUUUGUAAGUCGGAUGUGAAAUCCCUCGGCUUAACCAAGGAAGUGCAUCCGAAACUACAGAGCUUGAGUACUUAAGAGGAUCGCGGAAUUCCCGGUGUAGAGGUGAAAUUCGUAGAUAUCGGGAGGAGCACCAGUGGCGAAGGCGGCGAUCUGGGAAGAUACUGACGCUGAGGUGCGAAAGCGUGGGGAGCAAACAGG